GGUGGCACCAGUAGGUGUCACUCUCCAUAGGCUGAGCCUCUAUAAAAGGGGAAGCUAGUAGGGUGGUAGCCAGGAGUUCACUUCCUGUGUCUGGGACCAGGGGUGUGGUCGAUCCAUACUGUUGGCUGGCUGGGGUAGGUUGGGAGGAAAAUGGUUUUUAAGUUUAUCUUUCUCAAUAUGUUUUUUGCUGAUUUGGUGUUUUUAUACAGGGCCGCAUUAACAGUAUUCCAGUGGUAGCGUUACCUGGGCGUGUGGUUGUUCGACGCCGCAGGGUUGUCACUGCUUCCUGCUGUCCUUUAGAGUUUGAUUUUCUUUUCUGUUAGUCUGCCUGGUUUGGAUUGUUUUUCUUUUUGAGUACUUGUGAGGGUGGACUAACAACUUUGCAUUUAUUUUGUUUUCUUUUCACUUCCUGUAUGCUUAUAUUCCUGCUACAUUUUAUAUAUUGGCACCUGUAUUUUAUUUAUAUACAAUAAAGCUUGGUAAAAUUAA